rnacentral:rRNA from 1 species
UACAGAGGGUGCGAGCGUUGUCCGGAAUCACUGGGCGUAAAGGGCGCGUAGGUGGCGCCCCAAGUCUGUGGUGAAAGCUCGAUGCUCAACAUCGAGUCGGCCACGGAAACUGGGGGGCUGGAGCACUGUAGAGGCUAAUGGAAUUCCGGGUGUAGCGGUGGAAUGCGUAGAGAUCCGGAAGAACACCGGUGGCGAAGGCGGUUAGCUGGG